GUGCAUGUAUAUCUUUAAUUAAAAAAUGAUAAAAAUAUAUAUAAAGUAAGUAGUAUAUAAUAUAUAUAAAUGAUAUGUGUAAACAAUGAAAUCUCAAAUCAAAUGAUGGAAUGUAGUCAUGGAUACCGAAAGGCACAUAUUUAAUUUGAUAAUUCAGAAAGAUAUCUUCAACAUGUCUUACUUUCUACACUUAAAUUUCUUAAUUCUAUUUGAAUAUCAACAAGACUAGUGCCGUCUCAAUAUCAUACUAUUCACAGGAGUCAAGAAGUUUAUCAAUAAAUGAGAAUUGAAAAUAAAAUAGUCUUCAUAAAAAAAGAUCAUUUUGACCUUAUUUCUCAUUUAUUGAUAAAAUAGGCAACUCCUGCGUGUUGCUACAGACAAACAACAAAAAGUUUUUUGGACUUUAAAAUUUCAUUUCCAUGGUUACAGCUAGCACAGGUGAAAGAUUUCAUAGUACAGUAUAUUCAAAUUUUUUAAAACUCGACACUAAUUCCUUUACAAAAUAAAAAUUGAAGGAAUAAGUUUUACAUUUGAGUUAUUGUGAAUCUAUGAUAGAUGAUAAAUUACAUAAUAAUACUGUAAAAGUACAUUUAUCUAUUGGAUUUUUGUUUUUUUGAAGACUUGUGGUAAACUUAAAUUGAAUGUAUUAACGCUAAAUUAAUGACUUAUAUUCAGUUAAUUUCAAAGUCUAAAACUCACAAACCAACAGAUUUCUCAAAACUUUCAAUUCACUAAUAAAAGUACUUUCCCAGUAAGUUAUAAGUACAGUGCUGUUUAUUUCACGGCAUAUUUCAAGUUAUCUUCAAUUUUGUUAAAUAUUUUUAGAUUAACAUUCUUGGUUAGAAUUUUUUUUUAUUCAUUUUCUUUUAAUUUGACAGCAGGAAAAUUUCCCUGGCCAUAUAAAUGAUCUUUAUCUGAAUGUAAUCCAUAUAACUAACAGCACUCAUUUUUAUGACAAUACUCUUAGAGCAUUUGUAUGAAAUGAUUUUGAAUGAAACUGUGAUAUGUAUAUGAUUCUGAAGUAAUGCCAUAUAAAAUAAAUGUACAUUUUGUUCUAUACAAAAAUUUCAUGAAUAUUAAAGUGUUACAAGGACUUCAUAAUUAUAUAAACAUAAAAUAAAUGAAUUGAAAAAAUAUAAAAAUCUUUUAAGUAUAUUUUUUUGUAAAAUAAUGGAUGGCCAGCC
rnacentral:lncRNA from 1 species